rnacentral:rRNA from 1 species
UACGUAGGGACCAAGCGUUGUUCGGAUUUACUGGGCGUAAAGGGCGCGUAGGCGGCAAUUCAAGUCAGCUGUGAAAUCUCCGGGCUUAACUCGGAACGGUCAGCUGAUACUGUUUUGCUAGAGUGCAGAAGGGGCAAUCGGAAUUCUUGGUGUAGCGGUGAAAUGCGUAGAUAUCAAGAGGAACACCUGAGGUGAAGACGGGUUGCUGGGCUGACACUGACGCUGAUGCGCGAAAGCCAGGGGAGCAAACGGG